rnacentral:rRNA from 1 species
UACGUAGGGUGCGAGCGUUGUCCGGAAUUACUGGGCGUAAAGAGCUCGUAGGUGGUUUGUCGCGUUGUCCGUGAAAACUCACAACUCAAUUGUGGGCGUGCGGGCGAUACGGGCAGACUGGAGUACUGCAGGGGAGACUGGAAUUCCUGGUGUAGCGGUGGAAUGCGCAGAUAUCAGGAGGAACACCGGUGGCGAAGGCGGCAUCCUGGACCGGUAUUGACACUGAAAAGCGUAAGCCAGGGGAGCAAACGGG